rnacentral:rRNA from 1 species
AUACGGAGGUGACAAGCGUUAUUCGGAAUCACUGGGCGUAAAGGACGCGUAGGCGGGUUAUUAAGUCGGGUGUGAAAUCCAAUGGCUCAACCAUUGAACUGCAUUCGAAACUGAUAACCUAGAGUAUGGAAGGGGCAGGUGGAAUUAGUGGUGUAGGGGUAAAAUCCGUAGAUAUCACUAGGAAUACCGAAAGCGAAGGCGACCUGCUGGGACAUUACUGACGCUGAGGCGUGAAAGCGUGGGGAGCAAACAGGAUUAGAAACCCCAGUAGUCC